GAAUGCUGACAUAAGUAACGAUAAAGCGGGUGAAAAGCCCGCUCGCCGGAAGACCAAGGGUUCCUGUCCAACGUUAAUCGGGGCAGGGUGAGUCGACCCCUAAGGCGAGGCCGAAAGGCGUAGUCGAUGGGAAACGGGUUAAUAUUCCCGUACUUGGUGUUACUGCGAAGGGGGGACGGAGAAGGCUAUGUUGGCCGGGCGACGGUUGUCCCGGUUUAAGCGUGUAGGUGUGUGUUCCAGGUAAAUCCGGUUCACUUUAACACUGAGGCGUGAUGACGAGGCACUACGGUGCUGAAGCAACAAAUGCCCUGCUUCCAGGAAAAGCCUCUAAGCAUCAGGUAACAUCAAAUCGUACCCCAAACCGACACAGGUGGUCAGGUAGAGAAUACCAAGGCGCUUGAGAGAACUCGGGUGAAGGAACUAGGCAAAAUGGUGCCGUAACUUCGGGAGAAGGCACGCUGACAUGUAGGUGAAGUGAUUUACUCAUGGAGCUGAAGUCAGUCGAAGAUACCAGCUGGCUGCAACUGUUUAUUAAAAACACAGCACUGUGCAAACACGAAAGUGGACGUAUACGGUGUGACGCCUGCCCGGUGCCGGAAGGUUAAUUGAUGGGGUCAGCGCAAGCGAAGCUCCUGAUCGAAGCCCCGGUAAACGGCGGCCGUAACUAUAACGGUCCUAAGGUAGCGAAAUUCCUUGUCGGGUAAGUUCCGACCUGCACGAAUGGCGUAAUGAUGGCCAGGCUGUCUCCACCCGAGACUCAGUGAAAUUGAACUCGCUGUGAAGAUGCAGUGUACCCGCGGCAAGACGGAAAGACCCCGUGAACCUUUACUAUAGCUUGACACUGAACAUUGAGCCUUGAUGUGUAGGAUAGGUGGGAGGCUUUGAAGCGUGGACGCCAGUCUGCGUGGAGCCGGCCUUGAAAUACCACCCUUUAAUGUUUGAUGUUCUAACGUGGACCCGUGAUCCGGGUUGCGGACAGUGUCUGGUGGGUAGUUUGACUGGGGCGGUCUCCUCCUAAAGAGUAACGGAGGAGCACGAAGGUUGGCUAAUCCUGGUCGGACAUCAGGAGGUUAGUGCAAUGGCAUAAGCCAGCUUGACUGCGAGCGUGACGGCGCGAGCAGGUGCGAAAGCAGGUCAUAGUGAUCCGGUGGUUCUGAAUGGAAGGGCCAUCGCUCAACGGAUAAAAGGUACUCCGGGGAUAACAGGCUGAUACCGCCCAAGAGUUCAUAUCGACGGCGGUGUUUGGCACCUCGAUGUCGGCUCAUCACAUCCUGGGGCUGAAGUAGGUCCCAAGGGUAUGGCUGUUCGCCAUUUAAAGUGGUACGCGAGCUGGGUUUAGAACGUCGUGAGACAGUUCGGUCCCUAUCUGCCGUGGGCGCUGGAGAACUGAGGGGGGCUGCUCCUAGUACGAGAGGACCGGAGUGGACGCAUCACUGGUGUUCGGGUUGUCAUGCCAAUGGCACUGCCCGGUAGCUAAAUGCGGAAGAGAUAAGUGCUGAAAGCAUCUAAGCACGAAACUUGCCCCGA
rnacentral:rRNA from 2 species